rnacentral:rRNA from 1 species
CUCUGCGCAAGGGAUCUUUUGGUUCGCUAGACGAAGAAGGGCGCAGCGGAAUGCGAAAUGUGCAGGAGCAGCAGCGAAGAUAGCACAUGCCUGAAAUCACGAGAGUGAGACUACCCCUUUGAAUUAAGCAUAUGAGUAAAGGGAGGAAAAGAAACUAACAAGGAUUCCUGUAGUA